rnacentral:rRNA from 1 species
GAUGAACGCUGACAGAAUGCUUAACACAUGCCAGUCUACUUGAAUUUGGGUUUUUUAACUUAGAUUUGGGUGGCGGACGGGUGAGUAACGCGUAAAGAACUUGCCUCACAGCUAGGGACAACAUUUGGAAACGAAUGCUAAUACCUGAUAUUAUGAUUAUAAGGCAUCUUAGAAUUAUGAAAGCUAUAUGCGCUGUGAGAGAGCUUUGCGUCCCAUUAGCUAGUUGGAGAGGUAACGGCUCACCUAGGCGAUGAUGGGUAGCCGGCCUGAGAGGGUGAACGGCCACAAGGGGACUGAGACACGGCCCUUACUCCUACGGGAGGCAGCAGUGGGGAAUAUUGGACAAUGGACCAAGAGUCUGAUCCAGCAAUUCUGUGUGCACGAUGACGUUUUUCGGAAUGUAAAGUGCUUUCAGUUGGGAAGAAAAAAAUGACGGUACCAACAGAAGAAGUGACGGCUAAAUACGUG